GACGAACGCUGGCGGCGUGCUUAACACAUGCGAGUCGAACGGGCCUUGUCCCCUUUUUUUUUGGGGGUGGGGUUAGUGGCGAACGGGUGAGUAACACGUGAGUAACCUGCCCCUCACUUCUGGAUAACCGCUUGAAAGGGUGGCUAAUACGGGGUGUUCUGGCCUGCUCGCAUGGGUGGGUUUGGAAAGAUUCGACCGGUUUUGGUUGUUUUGGUGGGGGAUGGGCUCGCGGCCUAUCAGCUUGUUGGUGGGGUGAUGGCCUGCCAAGGCUUUGACGGGUAGCCGGCCUGGGAGGGUGGGCGGUCACACUGGGACUGAGACACGGCCCAGACUCCGACGGGAGGCAGCAGUGGGGAAUAUUGCACAAUGGGCGCAAGCCUGAUGCAGCGACGCCGCGUGAGGGAUGGAGGCCUUCGGGUUGUGAACCUCUUUCGCCAGUGAAGAAGGUCCUGCUCUUUGUGGUGGGGUUGACGGUAGCUGGGUUAAUGAAGCGCCGGCUAACUACGUG
rnacentral:rRNA from 1 species